GGCUCCUUGGUCAAGCGGUUAAGACACCGCCCUUUCACGGCGGUAACAUGGGUUCAAAUCCCGUAGGAGUCA
rnacentral:tRNA from 1 species